rnacentral:lncRNA from 1 species
UCAAUUUUGUUGUUAGUUGCCAAUGAUAUGGUUCCCUAUUACCUUGUAGUGGUUGGACCCAGAAAAAAGACAUAAUGGGCAGGUUUUGAUUAAUUGAAAGAGAUGUUUAUGGGCUUUGUUGUGAGACAAACUUGAACACUGCAGAAAUUCCUAGCUUUUGACUUGAUAUGUUGACAUUAAUGUAAAUUUCCUUAAGUAGUACAGGAAGUACAUGUUUUACUCGCUGUAAUUGCUGGUGCUCUGAUUAUAGACUAAAAACAAAGAAGUUACAUGUAGCCUUUGGAAGGAUCCUUUUUUCAGUUCAAGUUCCUCUUCCAAAGAGAGAGCAUGGCGGUGAUUAUAUAUUGCCAACAAAAGCUACUCUCUACUUUUAGUGAUAUCUACUAUAAAAUUCAAAUAGUUGAGAGAUAUAAAACAUCAAAGAUAGAUUAUAUCUUCUUAAGUUGGAUAUUGAUGAAUUAUACAUAGUGAUUCUACUAUUAUAGUUAUUACUUCUAGUUCAGAAAUCAUUGCCCUGAAUCUUCUUCUCUACGCAUGAAGGUGAUAACACUGGACUCAGUUUGCAAUCUGUAAUUUUUUAGUGCUGAUCAUUUGCUUCUGAUUUAUAUCUUAGUUGUUCUUAUAUUCUUCCCUUUUAUGGAGGGGUAGGGGUGGGGGUGAGAGGAUCCGUUUAGCUUACUGCCUCA